GACGAACGCUGGCGGCGUGCCUAAUACAUGCAAGUCGAGCGAAUCUCUGAAGGAGCUUGCUCCUGAUGAGGUUAGCGGCGGACGGGUGAGUAACACGUAGGCAACCUGCCUGCAAGCCUGGGAUAACAUCCGGAAACGGAUGCUAAGACCGGAUACGCAGCUUGGUCGCAUGACCGAGCUGGGAAAGACGGAGCAAUCUGUCGCUUGCGGCUGGGCCUGCGGCGCAUUAGCUAGGUGGUGAGGUAACGGCCCACCAAGGCGACGAUGCGUAGCCGACCUGAGAGGGUGAACGGCCACACUGGGACUGAGACACGGCCCAGACUCCUACGGGAGGCAGCAGUAGGGAAUCUUCCACAAUGGACGCAAGUCUGAUGGAGCAACGCCGCGUGAGUGAGGAAGGCCUUCGGGUCGUAAAGCUCUGUUGCCAGGGAAGAACGCCUAAGAGAGUAACUGCUCUUAGGGUGACGGUACCUGAGAAGAAAGCCCCGGCUAACUACGUGCCAGCCGCCGCGGUAA
rnacentral:rRNA from 1 species